rnacentral:rRNA from 1 species
AUACGGAGGAUCCAAGCGUUAUCCGGAAUCAUUGGGUUUAAAGGGUCCGCAGGCGGUCAAUUAAGUCAGAGGUGAAAGCCCAUCGCUCAACGAUGGAACUGCCUUUGAUACUGGUUGACUUGAGUUAUACGGAAGUAGAUAGAAUAAGUAGUGUAGCGGUGAAAUGCAUAGAUAUUACUUAGAAUACCGAUUGCGAAGGCAGUCUACUACGUAUAUACUGACGCUGAGGGACGAAAGCGUGGGGAGCGAACAGGAUUAGAAACCCGGUAGUCC